GAUGAACGCUGGCGGCGUGCCUAAUACAUGCAAGUCGAACGAAACUUCUUUAUCACCGAGUGCUUGCACUCACCGAUAAAGAGUUGAGUGGCGAACGGGUGAGUAACACGUGGGCAACCUGCCCAAAGGAGGGGGAUAACACUUGGAAACAGGUGCUAAUACCGCAUAACCAUAGUUACCGCAUGGUAACUAUGUAAAAGGUGGCUAUACUACCGCUUUUGGAUGGGCCCGCGGCGCAUUAGCUAGUUGGUAGGGUAAAGGCUUACCAAGGCAAUGAUGCGUAGCCGAAUUGAGAGGUUGAUCGGCCACAUUGGGACUGAGACACGGCCCAAACUCCUACGGGAGGCAGCAGUAGGGAAUCUUCCACAAUGGGCGAAAGCCUGAUGGAGCAACGCCGCGUGGGUGAAGAAGGUCUUCGGAUCGUAAAACCCUGUUGUUAGAGAAGAAAGUGCGUGAGAGUAACUGUUCACGUUUCGACGGUAUCUAACCAGAAAGCCACGGCUAACUACGUG
rnacentral:rRNA from 1 species